rnacentral:rRNA from 1 species
UACGGAGGGGGCUAGCGUUGUUCGGAAUUACUGGGCGUAAAGCGCACGUAGGCGGCUUUGUAAGUUAGAGGUGAAAGCCCAGGGCUCAACCCUGGAAUUGCCUUUAAGACUGCAUCGCUAGAAUUGUGGAGAGGUAAGUGGAAUUCCGAGUGUAGAGGUGAAAUUCGUAGAUAUUCGGAAGAACACCAGUGGCGAAGGCGACUUACUGGACACAUAUUGACGCUGAGGUGCGAAAAGCGUGGGGGAGCAAACAGG